rnacentral:rRNA from 1 species
AACAGGAUUAGAUACCCUGGUAGUCCACGCCGUAAACGAUGAUAACUAGCUGUCCGGGGACUUGGUCUUUGGGUGGCGCAGCUAACGCAUUAAGUUAUCCGCCUGGGGAGUACGGCCGCAAGGUUAAAACUCAAAUGAAUUGACGGGGGCCUGCACAAGCGGUGGAGCAUGUGGUUUAAUUCGAAGCAACGCGCAGAACCUUACCAGCGUUUGACAUGUCCGGACGAUUUCCAGAGAUGGAUCUCUUCCCUUCGGGGACUGGAACACAGGUGCUGCAUGGCUGUCGUCAGCUCGUGUCGUGAGAUGUUGGGUUAAGUCCCGCAACGAGCGCAGCCCUCGCCUUUAGUUACCAUCAUUUAGUUGGGGACUCUAAAGGAACCGCCGGUGAUAAGCCGGAGGAAGGUGGGGAUGACGUCAAGUCCUCAUGGCCCUUACGCGCUGGGCUACACACGUGCUACAAUGGCGGUGACAGUGGGCAGCAAACUCGCGAGAGUGCGCUAAUCUCCAAAUGCCGUCUCAGUUCGGAUUGUUCUCUGCAACUCGAGAGCAUGGAGGCGGAAUCGCUAGUAAUCGCGGAUCAGCAUGCCGCGGUGAAUACGUUCCCAGGCCUUGUACACACCGCCCGUCACACCAUGGGAGUUGGGUUCACCCGAAGGCGUUGCGCUAACUCGCAAGAGAGGCAGGCGACCACGGUGGGCUUAGCGACUGGGGUGAAGUCGUAACAAGGUAACC